rnacentral:rRNA from 1 species
AACGAACGCUGGCGGCAUGCCUAACACAUGCAAGUCGAACGAGACCUUCGGGUCUAGUGGCGCACGGGUGCGUAACGCGUGGGAACCUGCCCUUAGGUUCGGAAUAACUCCCCGAAAGGGGUGCUAAUACCGGAUAAUGUCUUCGGACCAAAGAUUUAUCGCCUUUGGAUGGGCCCGCGUUGGAUUAGCUAGUUGGUAGUGUAAAAGCCUACCAAGGCGACGAUACAUAGCUGGUCUGAGAGGAUGAUCAGCCACACUGGGACUGAGACACGGCCCAGACUCCUACGGGAGGCAGCAGUGGGGAAUAUUGGAAAAGGGGCGAAAGCCUGAGCCAGCAAUGCCGCGUGAGUGAUGAAGGCCUUAGGGUUGUAAAGCUCUUUUACCCGGGAUGAUAAUGACAGUACCGGGAGAAUAAGCGCCGGCUAACUCCGUG